GUAAAAGAUUUUUCAAAUAUUCCAGCAAUACAGGUAUCAAAAAUAUUAAUAAUGAGAAAAGAUACCAUGUGUAAAAUAGGUGUUAAGAAUAACAUUAUGCUGGACUUUAUAGGUAUCUCCAUCUUCUCCUUAGACACUUCCUCACUUCUC